rnacentral:lncRNA from 1 species
AAACUACAUCACCCUUCUACAGUUGUUCUGUGGAGACUUCAGUAUUCAGAAUAACAGAAUUCUAGAAUUGAAAGAAAACUCAACAGACUUUCAGACCAACCCAUACCUCAAAGGAAUCCCUAUUCUAACAUAAUCAACAGUAUAUUCCAGCAUUGAUGACAGAUCUCCAAGGAGGGAGAGUCUACAACUUCCUGAGGCAUCCACUUCCAGUCCUUCAGACACCCCAACACUGGCUGUGCUGAAAAGCAAGAAGAAUGUUCUCCUUGAAGGAAAAUUAUUUCCUCAAGUUUCAUGAACUGGUGUUGAAAAGAACAUGCUGCAACCAAACCAUCAGUUGCAGAGAAUGUAUCAAUUCAGAUUGUCAAAGGAAGUUCUUUCCCUGGCACUCCUUACACAAUGAGUCUGGUGUAAAAGAAAAUAUAGUAACAAUAUUAUAUAUGUAUUCCUACAAUGUAAUUAUAUUGCUAUAAUAUAACAUUCUCUUAUAGUAAUAGUCCACCUUUCUAUUGUACUCUUAAGGCUUAUGAUAGCUUUCCUUAACAAUGAUCCUUUGAGGCAAGUAGUGAAAAAUCCAUUGUCUACUUUUUAGGCAAUAUAUAUCAACCUGGGCCAUCCUCUCUACUAUCGAGGUACAAACACCAGGGCCGAAGAAAACUGGGUUUAGAAACAAUCGUAGAGUCCAGGGACAGUAUAUCUGCAUGCAAAAUCUGUCUUUGCU